ACGCUGAAGGCCCAGCUUGCUGGGUUGGAUGAGUGGCGAACGGGUGAGUAACACGUGAGUAACCUGCCCCCUUCUUUGGGAUAACGGUCGGAAACGGCUGCUAAUACCGGGUAUUCACUGUCCUUCGCAUGGGGGGUGGUGGAAAGGUUUUUUCUGGUGGGGGAUGGGCUCGCGGCCUAUCAGCUUGUUGGUGGGGUGAUGGCUUACCAAGGCUUUGACGGGUAACCGGCCUGAGAGGGUGACCGGUCACAUUGGGACUGAGAUACGGCCCAGACUCCUACGGGAGGCAGCAGUGGGGAAUAUUGCACAAUGGGCGAAAGCCUGAUGCAGCGACGCCGCGUGAGGGAUGACGGCCUUCGGGUUGUAAACCUCUUUCGCUCAUGGUCAAGCCGCAACAGUGGUUGUGGUGAGGGUAGUGGGUAAAGAAGCACCGGCUAACUACGUGCCAGCAGCCGCGGUAAUACGUAGGGUGCGAGCGUUGUCCGGAAUUAUUGGGCGUAAAGGGCUUGUAGGCGGUUUGUCGCGUCUGCCGUGAAAUCCUCUGGCUUAACUGGGGGCGUGCGGUGGGUACGGGCAGGCUUGAGUGCGGUAGGGGAGACU
rnacentral:rRNA from 1 species